rnacentral:misc_RNA from 1 species
GAAAGAGGGAAGCUUGGACCAGGAAGGCAUCGAGCUUUUGCAGUUACAAGCGAAAGCCGUGCAAGUGACAUAGUUUUGAGAUUUCACGAUUGUUGUCAAAGCUACAAGGCUUUUAGAAAAAGUCAGGAGCCAAAUGUUAACAAGCUCAAAGAACCUCUAUUGAAUGAAAUUACUCAUGAAUUAGUCAGGCAAUAUGGGCUUAAUUUUACAAAUCAAGAUGUAUCUUCUUUAUGGUUUCUCUGCAAACAGGA